GUUUGAUCAUGGCUCAGAUUGAACGCUGGCGGCAGGCUUAACACAUGCAAGUCGAGCGGGGGAAGGUAGCUUGCUACUGGACCUAGCGGCGGACGGGUGAGUAAUGCUUAGGAAUCUGCCUAUUAGUGGGGGACAACAUCUCGAAAGGGAUGCUAAUACCGCAUACGUCCUACGGGAGAAAGCAGGGGAUCUUCGGACCUUGCGCUAAUAGAUGAGCCUAAGUCGGAUUAGCUAGUUGGUGGGGUAAAGGCCUACCAAGGCGACGAUCUGUAGCGGGUCUGAGAGGAUGAUCCGCCACACUGGGACUGAGACACGGCCCAGACUCCUACGGGAGGCAGCAGUGGGGAAUAUUGGACAAUGGGGGGAACCCUGAUCCAGCCAUGCCGCGUGUGUGAAGAAGGCCUUAUGGUUGUAAAGCACUUUAAGCGAGGAGGAGGCUACUUUAGUUAAUACCUAGAGAUAGUGGACGUUACUCGCAGAAUAAGCACCGGCUAACUCUGUGCCAGCAGCCGCGGUAAUACAGAGGGUGCGAGCGUUAAUCGGAUUUACUGGGCGUAAAGCGUGCGUAGGCGGCUUAUUAAGUCGGAUGUGAAAUCCCCGAGCUUAACUUGGGAAUUGCAUUCGAUACUGGUGAGCUAGAGUAUGGGAGAGGAUGGUAGAAUUCCAGGUGUAGCGGUGAAAUGCGUAGAGAUCUGGAGGAAUACCGAUGGCGAAGGCAGCCAUCUGGCCUAAUACUGACGCUGAGGUACGAAAGCAUGGGGAGCAAACAGGAUUAGAUACCCUGGUAGUCCAUGCCGUAAACGAUGUCUACUAGCCGUUGGGGCCUUUGAGGCUUUAGUGGCGCAGCUAACGCGAUAAGUAGACCGCCUGGGGAGUACGGUCGCAAGACUAAAACUCAAAUGAAUUGACGGGGGCCCGCACAAGCGGUGGAGCAUGUGGUUUAAUUCGAUGCAACGCGAAGAACCUUACCUGGCCUUGACAUA
rnacentral:rRNA from 1 species